rnacentral:pre_miRNA from 1 species
CAACUACUCCCUCUGUCCCAAAUUUCUUGUCUUAGAUUUGUCUAGAUACAGAUGUAUCUAAUACUAAAAUGUGACUUGAUACAUCCGUAUCUAGACAAAUCUAAGACAUGAAUUUUGGGACGGAGGGAGUACUUU